UACGUAGGGUGCGAGCGUUGUCCGGAAUUAUUGGGCGUAAAGGGCUCGUAGGCGGUUUGUCGCGUCGGGAGUGAAAACUCAGGGCUUAACCCUGAGCCUGCUUCCGAUACGGGCAGGCUAGAGUUCGGUAGGGGAGACUGGAAUUCCUGGUGUAGCGGUGAAAUGACGCAGAUAUCAGGAGGAACACCGGUGGCGAAGGCGGGUCUCUGGGCCGAUACUGACGCUGAGGAGCGAAAGCGUGGGGAGCGAACAGG
rnacentral:rRNA from 1 species